AAUUUCAAAUUUGUUUCCCAGAAAUUGUUGAAUCUCUAGUUGCAAUCUCAGAAUGGAAUGAUCAUGUUUCUUCAACAAAAUUCAAAAUAUUUUUAAAUGCAAUUUGUAAUUGUGAGUUUGUGAUGUCAUUAUUUACCCUGUCAAAUAGUCUGGACACAGCUUUUCUAAUAUUCAUAUGGAUAGUGAUAUAAGCUUAUAAUUAA